rnacentral:rRNA from 1 species
UACGUAGGUGGCAAGCGUUGUCCGGAAUUAUUGGGCGUAAAGAGCGCGUAGGCGGUAUGGUAAGUCUGUCUUAGAAGUGCGAGGCUUAACCCCGUGAGGGGACAGAGACUGUCAUACUGGAGUCUCGGAGAGGAAAGCGGAAUUCCUAGUGUAGCGGUGAAAUGCGUAGAGAUUAGGAAGAACACCGGUGGCGAAGGCGGCUUUCUGGACGAGCACUGACGCUGAGGCGCGAAAGCGUGGGGAGCGAACA